rnacentral:rRNA from 1 species
CUGGAGGUAUCAGAAGUGCGAAUGCUGACAUAAGUAACGAUAAAGCGGGUGAAAAGCCCGCUCGCCGGAAGACCAAGGGUUCCUGUCCAACGUUAAUCGGGGCAGGGUGAGUCGACCCCUAAGGCGAGGCCGAAAGGCGUAGUCGAUGGGAAACAGGUUAAUAUUCCUGUACUUGGUGUUACUGCGAAGGGGGGACGGAGAAGGCUAUGUUGGCCGGGCGACGGUUGUCCCGGUUUAAGCGUGUAGGCUGGUUUUCCAGGCAAAUCCGGAAAAUCAAGGCUGAGGCGUGAUGACGAGGCACUACGGUGCUGAAGCAACAAAUGCCCUGCUUCCAGGAAAAGCCUCUAAGCAUCAGGUAACAUCAAAUCGUACCCCAAACCGACACAGGUGGUCAGGUAGAGAAUACCAAGGCGCUUGAGAGAACUCGGGUGAAGGAACUAGGCAAAAUGGUGCCGUAACUUCGGGAGAAGGCACGCUGAUAUGUAGGUGAAGUCCCUCGCGGAUGGAGCUGAAAUCAGUCGAAGAUACCAGCUGGCUGCAACUGUUUAUUAAAAACACAGCACUGUGC